UACGAAGGGGGCUAGCGUUGCUCGGAAUUACUGGGCGUAAAGGGUGCGUAGGCGGGUCUUUAAGUCAGAGGUGAAAUCCUGGAGCUCAACUCCAGAACUGCCUUUGAUACUGAGGAUCUUGAGUUCGGGAGAGGUGAGUGGAACUGCGAGUGUAGAGGUGAAAUUCGUAGAUAUUCGCAAGAACACCAGUGGCGAAGGCGGCUCACUGGCCCGAUACUGACGCUGAGGCACGAAAGCGUGGGGAGCAAACAGG
rnacentral:rRNA from 1 species